rnacentral:rRNA from 1 species
GACAUGUACGGAAGUUGCAGAGAUGGCUCGUGCUCGAAGAGAGCCGUAACACAGGUGCUGCAUGGCUGUCGUCAGCUCGUGUCGUGAGGUGUUGGGUUAAGUCCCGCAACGAGCGCAACCCUUGUCAUUAGUUGCUACGAAAGGGCACUCUAAUGAGACUGCCGGUGACAAACCGGAGGAAGGUGGGGAUGACGUCAAGUCCUCAUGGCCCUUAUAGGUGGGGCUACACACGUCAUACAAUGGCUGGGUACAGAGGGCUGCGAAGCCGCGAGGUGGAGCGAAUCCCAGAAAACCUGUCUCAGUCCGGAUUGAAGUCUGCAACUCGACUUCAUGAAGGCGGAAUCGCUAGUAACCGCGAAUCAGCAGGUCGCGGUGAAUACGUUCCCGGGCCUU